rnacentral:rRNA from 1 species
CGCGUAGGUGGUAGUGCAAGUCUGAGGUGGAAUCCCAGGGCUUAACCCUGGAACUGCCUUGGAAACUGCACUACUUGAGUCAGUGAGGGGAGGGUAGAAUUCCUGGUGUAGCGGUGAAAUGCGUAGAUAUCAGGAGGAAGGCCGGUGGCGAAGGCGGCCCUCUGGCGCUGAACUGACACUGGGGCGCGAAAGCGUGGGUAGCAAACAGGAUUAGAUACCCUGGUAGUCCACGCCCUAAACGGUGGGUACUAGGUGUAGGGCUCGUAAGGGUUCUGUGCCGAAGCGAAAGCAUUAAGUACCCCGCCUGGGGAGUACGGCCGCAAGGUUGAA